GAUGAAGAACGUAGCGAAAUGCGAUAAGUAAUGUGAAUUGCAGAAUUCAGUGAAUCAUCGAAUCUUUGAACGCACCUUGCACCCUUUGGCAUUCCGAAGGGUAUGCUCGUUUGAGUGUCAUUGUACUCUCACACUCCCGAUCUUUGGAUUGGGAGCGGUGGACUUGGGUUUGCUGCUUACCGUGGCUCACCUCAAAUGGAUUAGUGCAACUCUUGGUUGACCAUAGUACGGCGUGAUAAGUGUCUUCGCCGGCACCUCACUGGGUGGGCCGAUCGGGAGCUCUGUGCUUCAAACCGUCUUCGGACAACAACUGACAACUUGACCUCAAAUCGAGUAGGACCACCCGCCGAACUUAAGCAUAUCAAUAAGCGGAGGA
rnacentral:misc_RNA from 1 species